GGUGAGGCCACCCGAUCUGGUGCCGGGCGCCGUCUCGAAAACGGUCUGGGCCGAAAGGCCGUGUGGGUUCGAAUCCCACCCUCACCG
rnacentral:tRNA from 1 species